GACGAACGCUUGCGGCGUGCUUAACACAUGCAAGUCGAACGGAAAGGCUCCAGCUUGCUGGCGUACUCGAGUGGCGAACGGGUGAGUAACACGUGGGUAAUCUGCCCUGCACUCUGGGAUAAGCCUGGGAAACUGGGUCUAAUACUGGAUAUGACCUUUCUCCUUAUGGGGUUUGGUGGAAAGUUUUUCGGUGUAGGAUGAGCCCGCGGCCUAUCAGCUUGUUGGUGGGGUGAUGGCCUACCAAGGCGACGACGGGUAGCCGGCCUGAGAGGGUGAUCGGCCACAUUGGGACUGAGAUACGGCCCAGACUCCUACGGGAGGCAGCAGUGGGGAAUAUUGCACAAUGGGCGGAAGCCUGAUGCAGCGACGCCGCGUGAGGGAUGACGGCCUUCGGGUUGUAAACCUCUUUCAGCAGGGACGAAGCGUAAGUGACGGUACCUGCAGAAGAAGCACCGGCUAACUACGUG
rnacentral:rRNA from 1 species